AGAGAGAAAAUUGUAUAUCUUAGAGGUCUUCUGAUUACCUCUAUUUAUAGAUCAAGGUGGGAGCCAUAGAAGAGAAAAGUUGGAGGCCAUCCCGACUCUUUCGGAUGCGUCGUUUUGAAAUUUUAGAUCUAAUUUUCUAGGAUUAGACAGUUGUGAUUGCCUUAUUUGGCCCUUGGCCAACUGCUCCCAAUGGUUGUGCAAUUUAAAAAGAGUAUACGAGAGUCUUCUAUUAACUUUUUCAAAUAUAUCGAUCAAAGUAGGAGUUCGAGGG
rnacentral:lncRNA from 1 species